GAUGAACGCUGGCGGCGUGCUUAACACAUGCCAGUCGAACGGUGAAGGCGGAGCUUGCUCUGCUGGAUCAGUGGCGAACGGGUGAGUAACACGUGAGCAAUCUGCCCCUGACUCUGGAUAAGCGCUGGAAACGGCGUCUAAUACUGGAUACGAGCUGCGAAGGCAUCUUCAGCAGCUGGAAAGAACUUCGGUCAGGGAUGAGCUCGCGGCCUAUCAGCUUGUUGGUGAGGUAACGGCUCACCAAGGCGUCGACGGGUAGCCGGCCUGAGAGGGUGACCGGCCACACUGGGACUGAGACACGGCCCAGACUCCUACGGGAGGCAGCAGUGGGGAAUAUUGCACAAUGGGCGAAAGCCUGAUGCAGCAACGCCGCGUGAGGGACGACGGCCUUCGGGUUGUAAACCUCUUUUAGCAGGGAAGAAGCGAAAGUGACGGUACCUGCAGAAAAAGCGCCGGCUAACUACGUG
rnacentral:rRNA from 1 species